rnacentral:tRNA from 2 species
GGAGAGAUGCCGGAGCGGUUGAACGGGCUUGCCCGGAAAGCAAGUAAUGGGGUAACUCAUUCCAGGGUUCGAAUCCCUGUCUCUCCGCCA